rnacentral:rRNA from 1 species
UGGGGGAUAUUGGACAAUGGGGGGAAGCCCUGAUCCAGCGACGCCGCGUGAGUGAAGAAGUAUCUCGGUAUGUAAAGCUCUAUCAGCAGGGAAGAAAAUGACGGUACCUGACUAAGAAGCCCCGGCUAACUACGUGCCAGCAGCCGCGGUAAUACGUAGGGGCAAGCGGUUAUCCGGAUUUACUGGGUGUAAAGGGAGCGUAGACGGAGAGGCAAGUCUGGAGUGAAAACCCAAGGCUCAACCAUGGGACUGCUUUGGAAACUGUUUUUCUGGAGUGCCGGAGGGGUAAGCGGAAUUCCUAGUGUAGCGGUGAAAUGCGUAGAUAUUAGGAGGAACACCAGUGGCGAAGGCGGCUUACUGGACGGUAACUGACGUUGAGGCUCGAAAGCGUGGGGAGCAAACAGGAUUAGAUACCC